rnacentral:rRNA from 1 species
AACGAACGCUGGCGGCGUGCCUAACACAUGCAAGUCGUGCGAGAAAGUUCCUGCGGGAGCGAGUAAAGCGGCGCACGGGUGAGUAACACGUAGGUAACCUGCCCCCCAGUCUGGAACAACUAGAGGAAACUCUAGCUAAUGCCGGAUGAGACCACGAUCCCUUCGGGGGUUGCGGCCAAAGAUGGCCUCUACUUGUAAGCUAUCGCUGAGGGAUGGGCCUGCGGGCCAUUAGCUUGUUGGUGAGGUAACGGCUCACCAAGGCUGUGAUGGCUAGCUGGUCUGAGAGGAUGACCAGCCACACUGGGACUGAGACACGGCCCAGACUCCUACGGGAGGCAGCAGUGGGGAAUAUUGGACAAUGGGCGAAAGCCUGAUCCAGCAAUGCCGCGUGAGUGAUGAAGGCCUUAGGGUUGUAAAGCUCUUUUACCCGGGAUGAUAAUGACAGUACCGGGAGAAUAAGCUCCGGCUAACUCCGUGCCAGCAGCCGCGGUAAU